GGGCAUAAGUAGGACAUGAGGAGGGCAUGAGGAGGACAUGAGGAGGACAGGAGGAGGUCCGGAGGAGGGCAUAAGUAGGACAUGAGGAGGGCAUGAGGAGGACAUGAGGAGGACAGGAGGAGGUCCGGAGGAGGGCAUAAGUAGGACAUGAGGAGGGCAUGAGGAGGACAUGAGGAGGACAGGAGGAGGUCCGGAGGAGGGCAUAAGUAGGACAUGAGGAGGGCAUGAGGAGGACAUGAGGAGGACAGGAGGAGGUCCGGAGGAGGGCAUAAGUAGGACAUGAGGAGGGCAUGAGGAGGACAUGAGGAGGACAGGAGGAGGUCCGGAGGAGGGCAUAAGUAGGACAUGAGGAGGGCAUGAGGAGGACAUGAGGAGGACAGGAGGAGGUCCGGAGGAGGGCAUAAGUAGGACAUGAGGAGGGUAUGAGGAGGACAUGAGGAGGACAGGAGGAGGUCUGGAGGAGGGCAUAAGUAGGACAUGAGGAGGGCAUGAGGAGGACAUGAGGAGGACAGGAGGAGGUCCGGAGGAGGGCAUAAGUAGGACAUGAGGAGGGCAUGAGGAGGACAUGAGGAGGACAGGAGGAGGUCCGGAGGAGGGCAUAAGUAGGACAUGAGGAGGGCAUGAGGAGGACAUGAGGAGGACAGGAGGAGGUCCGGAGGAGGGCAUAAGUAGGACAUGAGGAGGGCAUGAGGAGGACAUGAGGAGGACAGGAGGAGGUCCGGAGGAGGGCAUAAGUAGGACAUGAGGAGGGCAUGAGGAGGACAUGAGGAGG